GAUGAACGCUGGCGGCGGGCCUAACACAUGCAAGUCGAGCGGAUGGACGGCGCUUGCGCCUGGCUUCAGCGGCGGGCGGGUGAGUAAUGCGUAGGAAUCUGCCUGAUCGUUGGGGAUAACGUCCGGAAACGGGCGCUAAUACCGCAUCCGUCCUUAGUGUGAAAGGGGGGGAUCUUCGGACCUUACGGUAUCAGAUGAGCCUAGGUCUGAUUAGCUAGUUGGUGGGGUAAAGGCCUACCAAGGCGACGAUCCGUAACUGGACUGAGAGGAUGAUCAGUCACACUGGAACUGAGACACGGUCCAGACUCCUACGGGAGGCAGCAGUGGGGAAUCUUGGGCAAUGGGCGAAAGCCUGAUCCAGCCAUGCCGCGUGUGUGAAGAAGGUCUUCGGAUCGUAAAGCACUUUAAGUUGGGAGGAAGAGCAGUAUGUUAAUACCUUGCUGUUUUGACGUUACCAACAGAAUAAGCACCGGCUAACUUCGUG
rnacentral:rRNA from 1 species